UACGGGGGGAGCAAGCGUUGUUCGGAUUUACUGGGCGUAAAGGGCCAGUAGGCGGCCAACUAAGUCCGACGUGAAAUCCCCAGGCUUAACCUGGGAACUGCGUCGGAUACUGGAUGGCUUGAAUUCGGGAGAGGGAUGCAGAAUUCCAGGUGUAGCGGUGAAAUGCGUAGAUAUCUGGAGGAAUACCGGUGGCGAAGGCGGCAUCCUGGACCGACAUUGACGCUGAACGGCGAAAGCUAGGGGAGCAAACGGG
rnacentral:rRNA from 1 species